rnacentral:rRNA from 1 species
UACAUAGGAGGCGAGCGUUGUCCGGAAUCACUGGGUGUAAAGCGCGUGUAGGCGGCCUGUCAAGUCUGCUGUGAAAGCGCCUGGCUUAACCGGGCGAGGUCGGUGGAAACUGACGGGCUGGAGGCCGGUAGAGGGGGGUGGAAUUCCCGGUGUAGUGGUGAAAUGCGUAGAGAUCGGGAGGAACACCAGUGGCGAAGGCGGCCCCCUGGGCCGGGCCUGACGCUGAGACGCGAAAGCGCGGGGAGCGAACGGG